GGUUCGAUUAUGGCUCAGAUUGAACGCUGGCGGGAUGCUUUACACAUGCAAGUCGAACGGCAGCACGGACUUCGGUCUGGUGGCGAGUGGCGAACGGGUGAGUAAUGUAUCGGAACGUGCCCUAGUAGCGGGGGAUAACUGCGCGAAAGCGUAGCUAAUACCGCAUACGCCCUUCGGGGAAAGCGGGGGACCUUCGGGCCUCGCACUAUUAGAGCGGCCGAUAUCGGAUUAGCUAGUUGGUGGGGUAACGGCUCACCAAGGCGACGAUCCGUAGCUGGUUUGAGAGGACGACCAGCCACACUGGGACUGAGACACGGCCCAGACUCCUACGGGAGGCAGCAGUGGGGAAUUUUGGACAAUGGGGAAACCUGAUCCAGCCAUCCCGCGUGUGCGAUGAAGGCCUUCGGGUUGUAGAAGCACUUUUGGCAGGAAAAGAAACGGCACCGGGAUAAUACCCCGUGCAACUGACGGCCUGCAGAAUAAGCACCGGCUAACUACGUGCCAGCAGCCGCGGUAAUACGUAGGGUGCAAGCGUUAAUCGGAAUUACUGGGCGUAAAGCGUGCGCAGGCGGUUCGGAAAGAAAGAUGUGAAAUCCCAGAGCCCAACCUGGAACUGCAUUUUUAACUACCGAGCUAGAGUGUGUCAGAGGAGGUGGAAUUCCCGCGUGUAGCAGUGAAAUGCGUAGAUAUGCGGAGGGGAACACCGAUGGCGAAGGCAGCCUCCUGGGGGGAUAACACUGACGCUCAUGCACGGCGUGGGAGCAAACAGGAUUAGAUACCCUGGUAGUCCACGCCUAAACGAUGUCAACUAGCUGUUGGGGCCUUCGGGCCUUGGUAGCGCAGCUAACGCGUGAAGUUGACCGCCUGGGAAAUACGGUCGCAAGAUUAAAACUCAAAGCUGACGGGGACCCGCACAAGCGGUGGAUGAUGUGGAUUAAUUCGAUGCAACGCGAAAAACCUUACCUACCCUUGACAUGUCUGGAAUCCCGAAGAGAUUUGGGAGUGCUCGCAAGAGAACCGGAACACAGGUGCUGCAUGGCUGUCGUCAGCUCGUGUCGUGAGAUGUUGGGUUAAGUCCCACAACGAGCGCAACCCUUGUCAUUAGUUGCUACGAAGGGCACUCUAAUGAGACUGCCGGUGACAAACCGGAGGAAGGUGGGGAUGACGUCAAGUCCUCAUGGCCCUUAUGGGUAGGGCUUCACACGUCAUACAAUGGUCGGGACUUAGAGGGUCGCCAACCCGCGAGGGAGCCAAUCAGAAACCCGAUCGUAGUCCGGAUCGCAGUCUGCAACUCGACUGCGUGAAGUCGGAAUCGCUAGUAAUCGCGGAUCAGCAUGUCGCGGUGAAUACGUUCCCGGGUCUUGUACACACCGCCCGUCACACCAUGGGAGUGGGUUUGCAAGUAGCCUAACCGUAAGGAGGGCGAUUACCACGGUAGGAUUCAUGACUGGGGUGAAGUCGUAACAAGGUAG
rnacentral:rRNA from 1 species